GCGGCUGUAAUCUAGCGGUAGGAUACAACCCUCCCAAGGUUGGUACCCGGGUUCGAAUCCCGGCAGCCGCA
rnacentral:tRNA from 1 species